rnacentral:misc_RNA from 1 species
GAAAUGCGAUAAUUAAUGUGAAUUGCAGAAUUCAGUGAAUCAUCGAGUCUUUGAACGCACAUUGCGCCCCCUGGUAUUCCGGGGGGCAUGCCUGUCCGAGCGUCAUUGCUGCCCUCAAGCACGGCUUGUGUGUUGGGCUUCCGUCCCUGGCAACGGGGUCGGGCCCAAAAGGCAGUGGCGGCACCAUGUCUGGUCCUCGAGCGUAUGGGGCUUUGUCACCCGCUCCCGUAGGUCCAGCUGGCAGCUAGCCUCGCAACCAAUCUUUUUAACCAGGUUGACCUCGGAUCAGGUAGGGAUACCCGCUGAACUUAAGC